rnacentral:tRNA from 1 species
UAUUUUAAAUAUAUUUAUUUAUAUAAUUUUUAUUUACAAUAUCAAUUUUUUUUUAAACUAUUAAAAU